UGGAACAUUAUGGUUUGGAAAGCAUAUCCUGAUUAACUGCAGUGAGUUCCAUGAAGCUAUUAUGCACCUCCCAAGUGGGCAGACAGUUUGCCGGGGUGGAACUCAGCGACCGUGCUACAAAAUCAUUUAUUUUCAUGAUGCUUUGCGCAGAAUCAGCUUUGAAGAAGCACACCAGGCAUGCAGAAUAGAUGGUGGACAUUUAGUCAGUAUUGAAUCAGAAUCAGAACAGAGACUGAUUGAAAAAUUGAUUGAGAGUCUCUUGGCUUCAGAUGGAGAUUUUUGGAUAGGACUUAGGAGAAAAGAGGAAGACGUGGACAAUAGCACAGAAUGUCAGGGCCUGUAUUCAUGGUCUGAUGGCAGUACAUCCAAAUUUCGGAAUUGGUAUACAGAUGAGCCUUCCUGCGGGAGUGAGAUCUGCGUUGUGAUGUACCACCAGCCCUCUGCCCCGGCAGGUGUUGGAGGUUCCUAUAUGUUUCAGUGGAAUGAUGACAGAUGCAACAUGAAAAAUAACUUCAUUUGCAAAUAUUCUCUUGAAAAACCAACUGCUGCUUCAGAAGAGAACUCACAAGUGGAUGUUGUCACAGGGUCCUUGAAGCCAGCGUUCCCCGAAGAACCCAUUAAGGAAGAUGCCAAUGAAACCCUUAAAGAACCCAGAGAACCUGUUUUGAGUCUUGUCUACAUCUUAAUUCCCAGCAUCCCUCUGCUCCUUCUCCUGAUGGUCAUUACAGCCAUCUUCUGUUUUUGGCUUUUUGCAAAGAGGAAACGAGAGCACAUGGAGAUGAGUCCAAAGGAGCAAGAUGCCUGGAUCUCCCCCCACAGGAAGAACAGUUCCAAUCUGGAGAUUUACAAUGUAAUUAAAAAACAAAUGGAGGCAGAUUUGGCUGGGACCAGGCCAGAUAUUAAGAAUUCUUCCUUCCGCACCCCUUCCGGAGACCACACGUCUGACAACUUCUCCGGAGAUUAUGACAACGUGGCUGUGAAUACUUCAGAGAGCGUUUUUGUGGCAUUGACUAGUACUGAAAGUGGCUUUGUGACCAAUGAGAUCUAUGAGCUGUGCAAUGAUCAGACAGGACAAAGCAAGGAGUCGGCCUGGGUGGAAAACGAAAUAUAUGGAUAUUAAGGAAACUAAAAACACUUGGAUGUGGGUGACAUAGCAAAUAAAAACACAAGUAGUCCCCCACACAUCAUAUUAACAGUGAAUGCAAAAAUGGUGUGUGUCGCAGUGCAUAGUGGUUUCAGAUCACCUCUGUGCUCAUUCAUUUUUUUUAAAGGUUAUGUUAUUUUAAACAGUUAAACACAACAGAUUGUAUUUAGCUUGCCUUGCUUCAAACCGCUAUUCAAUACUGGGAAUGAUCUGUCUUGGUCUUGGUCCUUUUUUUCUUUGGAACUACAAUAUUUCCUGAGCUCCAGACAUGAAAAUAUUUCUACAUCUUUGCAACUAAAAAUCAGUCCAACUUCCAAAUUCUUUGAUUUUGUUGAUGGACCUCAUCCACAUGGAUGUUUUUAAGUCGUACGCCGGUCAUCCUUGCUUUCUCCUAGCUGCACCGGAGAAUGGUGACAGAUUUUUUUUUCCCCUCUCAUGCUCGUGAGCUGUACUGUAUGAAGAUUGAUAAAAUGUCUCUUCUCACUGCAUAAUGAUGACAUGUUGCUAAUCUCAGCAUGGAUGGGAUUACUAAAAAAGCACAUUUACUAAAGUUUCUAAGCAGCUAGGAGAAGUGCAGAGUACACCCAAGCGAUGGAAAUGCUAUGAGGGAACCUGCCAAAUGUCUACGCAAGUGACCCUCCGCUGGAGUUUGUAUCUAAAUUCCCCAAGAACCCACAAGUAUUUAGAUUGGAGCAACAGCGUGAUUGUAAGGGAUGUACCGACAGCUCUGUGUCUGAAUUAAGUUCCUGCUUUAGCGACUAGUGAAUGCGUUAAGAUUACAAUUAUUUUUUUGAACUGUUGAUACAUAAGUGUGAGGCUUUUGUUACCAUGUGAAGCCUAAGACAUGGGCUGUGAGAUGAACUGAAUCUGUCUUAGUUAACAACUGGCAUGUUUUUAAAGCCUUUUGAAGCACAGUAUGAGAUUUAAGACAGCCCUCCGAUCAAAGAAUCGGGAUUAUAUAUUGGAAAUGAAGGUGGGCGUCUUUCUUGCCCCUUCUCUCCAGCAUUUUAGCCCAUUUAGUCUCUUUUCUCCCUGAGAGAAUAAUGUCAGAUAUUGCCUUGAGCCACCUGAAAUGAGUUUGAACACCACAAAGACUUUCCUAGAAAAAACCAAAACCAAGAUGGACAAUGUGCAAACUGUGGAUCUGCCAGUGGGCGAGUAUUCUUUGAGAACUGGCUGCCUGUGACUUUGUACUUAAUACUGCCGAAAAGCCCCUUGUCACGCAUCGAAAGGGCAUUUGAGGGAUUGUAAUGAGGAAGCUAUAAAUCAAAAAGUGACCAAGGAAGUAUUCUCGUUUCCUGUGUAUCUGACAACUGACACAGUUAAAUCUGACUUACUCCAUAAUGGCAAUAAGCUAGUUUCAGUCCUGAUGCAAGUUCUGCUACACAAGUGUGAGCUGUGUGGCUCAAAGCUUGUCUCUCUCACCAGCAGAUAUUGUCCCAAUAAAAGAUAUUACCUUACCCACCUUUGGUAAGCCAAGAGAGAGGCAUUUUCCAAACGCAAGCUAAUGUAUCCCAACGAAGCUUUACCAUGCUAAACCAUCCCAUACAGCAAGCCUAGCUGUAUCUGUUCUGGGAUGCUGAGCAAGAUAUGGCAGGGAGGAGUGGAAUCAGAAUCUGAACUCAGGAGAGAGCAGCACUGAUGACUUGGGGUUUACUAUUAACUUGAUGAUCAUUAGAGCUUUCUAAUGCCUGUGUUUUGCUUGUUUGUGUACAGUCCUUUGAAUUUUUGGAUUAUGGUAAUCACAGCUUCGUGUGCUCCAGGGGAAGCUUGAUAUAAAUAUGUGCCAAGGUUUCUACACUGUUCAGUGCAGCAGACUGGAGCUCUGGUGUCAGCUUCAGAUAAGUGUAAAAAUGGAGAUUCAUAUUUAACUAGGUACAAAAAUGAAUACGCUCGUGGCAGGUUUCCCUUAGCUUUUGAAUAUUAGAUGCCAUUUAUUUCGUGGUCUGUAUGAUGCAGAAUGUGUGGUGGGGGUUUUGGUUUUUGUAUUUGUUUUAAAUGCCUGGCUAAUCUUUUUGAGCUGGCAGGCGGAAGCUGGAGGUUAUUGCAGCUGCAUAGGCAUUUAGGAAGGUGUGGGAGGAAGCUUGCGUUUGUGAGAUAAACGCGCUAACUGGAUGUAAAAAUGAGGCUCAUCUGUGAAAUAUAUUAAUGUGGACUCUGAAAUUUGCAUCAUUAACAUACAAGUUUAACACCCCCUUGAAGUGAAUUGAGGGACAGUUCACUCCUAAGCUUUUGCUUCAGGCUGUCUGCAAAUUCAGGCAGAUAACUUUGCAUUUGGUUCACCUUUGGAAAGUUUUGGACACCACCCUAAGAACGUGAGACAUUCUUUUUUAAGUGUAUGCUUGGGUUGUGGCUCACAAUUUCGCAGCAAGGGAUGGAUUUUGAGGUAAAUUCUGUGGCUGUGGAAGGAGGAAGUGUGGUCUUGACAAAUAGCAAUGUGUCUUCUGAGACCCUCUUUACAGAAUUCUUGUACCUGUUUCGUCCUGCCAAUAACACUUCUGCUGUGAAUAUGUUCAUUCGGUUGGAUUCUGAAAUGUAUAGCAGCCUGCUGGGAACUAUUAUGUCCAUUCUUUUCCAAGUUUAUCCAGAGAGCUGGCUGCACCAAUCUGGGAUUAGACAGUUGUGAUCUAUCUGUUCCUGCAUGCUCUGAUAUCCCGUCAUGGAAGGUUAACAUGCUUGUUUUUAUGUUCUCAUGUUGAAUGUGUCCAGUUCCUGAGAGAUCCCACAGCAUUUCGUAUUGUCUACACUUACACUACUUUCAGUCUGAGUCUGGAGUUGCACGUAUCUCACUGGUCUGACAGUGAACUGGGAGUGUUGAAUAGCAGAGUGCAAGAUACUUGCUGUCUAUUUUAGAGGAGAGGAAGAAUGGUCCAGUGUUUAAGACACUGGACUUGAGACACCUGGGUUCAGUUCUGUACUCUGCCACAGUCUGACCUUGAGCAUGUUAUUCAGCUUCUAUCUCUCUCCAUUCCCCAUAUGUAUAAUGGGGAUAAUAGCACUGCCCUACCUCACAGGGGUGUUGUGAGGAUAAAUACAUUAAAGAUUAUGAGAUGCUCAGAAACGAUGGUAAUGGGGGCCAGAUAAUUACUUAAUAUUUUAAUUCUCUUGUCCACACAGACCUUUGGAACAUCAUGGAAGCUUAUUGAAGAUAAGCUCUUACAUAAGGAUUCGGAAGAGUAUUUGACUCAAUAUGUGGUUUGGUUGAGCAUUUUGCUGGUACAGGAAGCGAUGCUGCUUAUUUACUUGGCUCUUGUUCGUCCUUUUCAAAAUUGAAUUUAAAAAAAUGGUAAAUGCCAUUAAAGCCAAGGCCUGCCAUUCUAUACUGGUGGUAAUAAUACCACCUAGCUCUCGUACAGCACUUGCCAUCCACAGAUUUCAGUGUAAAGUCUGCAUCAGUGUCCUGCUGUUUGCCAGAGGAGCUUUGCUUAAUCACGUUCCUGACUUCUAAACACAGAAGAAUCUGGACUAUAGAGCAGGCAGGAAGUACCACUCACCAUAAUCCACAAAGUGCUGGCCAGUGGAUGUAGUUAGGCUCUAGUCUAAAAUAGAGUUCCAGCCUGCCCUUUUCAGUGUCUCUUAGGUAAGAGCUAUUUAAUAGUCUGUACUUGCCAAGGGUUUCCCUGCAACUGUUGUUGAUUUCUCAGAGGAGUUUUCCCAAUUAAGAGUCUGCACCAAUGUCCCAGGGAGAGGCUUCCAUUGGUCUGGUUAGAUUCAGUAAUUAAAAAAAAUACCAUUUUUUAUAUGUGUACACCAUGCUCUGCAGUAGAUGCAAUGUGCCAGUCAAAUGCCAGUUUCCUGGCUUGGAAGAGCUUUAUCUAAAGGCAUAUUGACUAUAAUAUGGAACUGUACAAAACAAGUAGGAUAGAGCAGCACAGAGCCCAUUGUGUGAUCACGAAAGCCAAAACACUUCCAAAUAAUUUCACAUAAUUGGGAAAACCACGCCUGCUUUAAACUCUGCUUCCCCUAAGAAGCCUCUAAGUAGCUUCUAGCCUUCAGGUAAUUGAUCCACCUGUUUUCUCUCCCAACUAGAAAUCAGGCAGGGGAGGGAGAGUGACACUGUGAGUGAAACAAGUCAGGAAGAGAGGUAGAUACGGACAUACACUGCUCCACGGGUGAGUCUCUCUGGCUAUAAGAGGAAAUCUAAAUAAUUCAUUUGCUACGUUCUGCAGCCAAACAAGACUGGCUCUGAAGCAUCGGAAAUGUCAGUAGCUACUGCCAGAGUUAAUGCAACUUUUAUUUUUUCUGUUGCACUUAAAAAAAAAAAAUCAUGAGAUUGAAGCAAAACCAGUUUGCAGAAGCCACCAGGAAGCAAAGAUGCAUCAAAGGCUUUGGCAGAAGGUGUUUAUAUGGGAGUGAAACAACAACAGAAGUGAGUGCAGGACGUUGCUGUGAGUUGAAUCUGCCAAUAUAAACAUUCAGGGAGCCAGUUCUGGAGCUGUAUGCCACCCAUCAUAUUCACUGCAAACAUUAAAAUAUUUGUAAGCUGCUAUAGCUGUUUCUAUCUCUUCAUAAGUAUUACAGAUUGGGUUGAUAGAGACAGAGGGCCUGUCUUGGAUACCUGGCAGUCUGGGAGAGUGGCUACCAAACAGGAUUCAGUGGCCUGUCACUGACGUUAGUGGUGCAAGUUCAAGCCCCUGAGAGCAGUCCUUGCCAGAAAAGGGCCACUGCCUACCAAUGAUAACCUGCCAGCUGGUUACCAGUGGGGAUAAUGCUAGGCAAUAGCUGCUGAUUGGCAUUAGAAAAGGGGUAUCCACUGAUGGGUUGGCUAACUUCCUGGGAUUCAUUACAUUCAUUAGUGCAUUUUAGUAAGCAGCUGUGUAUGUGUAUUCAUUUUUAUCCUUCAAAUCUUCUUGUCUGUUUUUAGGCAGGCCAUAAGCAUCUUUGAGUCCUUGGAAAAACAAGAAACGAGAGCAAAAAGCUCAAGCGAAAUAUUCAGACUUACGUGUAUAACCUCUUACAUCCAUAUUUUGGUAACUAAAUGAGUGCCCCGCAUCUGAAGCUCUGAUUGAAGUCAGUGAAAGCUUGCUAUGCGUGUUCAGCACCUCUGAAGGUCAGGCCAGGUAUUUAGGUGCUGAAAUAUGGUUGUAAAUGGUUAAUUUUAGUAAACUAAUUUGGAAAAGUUUUGCCUAUUAAAGCUCCCAAGGUUCACUUCUCUAUCUGUAAUGGGACUGAAUAAUACUUUAUCUGUGUUCUUUCCUCAUGUGGAAAUCAAAAUGUUGAAUAUAACGAUGACAGUUACUGACAAGAACAAGUCUCCUUGAAUUUGUCAACUCCUAUCUAGCACUUCAUCUGUGGAGGUCUUUCAUGCCAUUGUUGCAUGAACAAAUUAAAUGUUUAAGUGCUGAAAUACCCAGUGUUCCCUAUUCCUUCAAGUUUGAGGCUGCUUUGAAACUGGAAAGGUGCUUGUAUCAGAGAUAAACAUCAUCAAGGAAACUUUUUAACAGAUGUGAUAUACAUGCACUCACCUCAUAGAUUCAUAGACUCUAGGACUGGAAGGGACCUCGAGAGGUCAUCGAGUCCACUCCCCUGCCCUCAUGGCAGGACCAAAUACUGUCUAGACCAUCCCUGAUAGACA